CAGUCGAACGCCCAUUUCGGUGGUGAGUGGCGAACGGGUGAGUAAAAGAUAAGUAACCUGCCCUAGGCAGGGGGAUAACGACCGGAAACGGACGCUAAAACCGCAUAGGCUGGGAGAUCGCAUGAGAAUCCAGUUAAAUGUCCUGAAAGGGACAGGCAAAGGAGGGACUUAUCACGCAUUAGCUAGUUGGUGGGGCAACGGCCUACCAAGGCGACGAUGCGUAGCCGGCCUGAGAGGGCGGACGGCCACACUGGGACUGAGACACGGCCCAGACUCCUACGGGAGGCAGCAGUAGGGAAUUUUCGGCAAUGGGCGAAAGCCUGACCGAGCAACGCCGCGUGAACGAAGAAGGUCUUCGGAUUGUAAAGUUCUGUUAUAGAGGAAGAACGGUGUACGUAGGAAAUGACGUACAAGUGACGGUACUCUGUGAGGAAGCCACGGCUAACUACGUGCCAGCAGCCGCGGUAAUACGUAGGUGGCGAGCGUUAUCCGGAAUCAUUGGGCGUAAAGAGGGAGCAGGCGGCCUGGAGGGUCUAUUGUUAAAAGGCAGUGGCUUAACCAUUGCAAGGCGAAGAAACCGGCAGGCUAGAGUUCUAAAGAGGAUCGUGGAAUUCCAUGUGUAGCGGUGAAAUGCGUAGAUAUAUGGAGGAACACCAGUGGCGAAGGCGACGAUCUGGGAAGAAACAGACGCUGAGUCCCGAAAGCGUGGGGAGCAAAUAGGAUUAGAUACCCUGGUAGUCCACGCCGUAAACGAUGAGUACUAGCUGUCGGAGGUUACCCCCUUCGGUGGCGCAGCUAACGCAUUAAGUACUCCGCCUGGGAAGUACGCUCGCAAGAGUGAAA
rnacentral:rRNA from 1 species